rnacentral:ncRNA from 1 species
GUACUCUGGAGAAUCCCAUUGAAUUGGGUGCCGAAGGUGCAAAGCGCGAACAGCGCUGAAUCUCUCAGGCAAAAGGACGGAGAUGA